AAAGGAAUAGACGGGGGCCCGCACAAGCGGUGGAGCAUGUGGUUUAAUUCGACGCAACGCGAAGAACCUUACCAGCUUUUGACAUGUCGGUCGGGGAGAGUGGAGACACUUUCUUUCAUUUAGUUGGACCGAACACAGGUGCUGCAUGGCUGUCGUCAGCUCGUGUCGUGAGAUGUUGGGUUAAGUCCCGCAACGAGCGCAACCCUUACUCAUAGUUGCCAUCAUUCAGUUGGGCACUUUAUGGGAACUGCCGGUGACAAGCCGGAGGAAGGUAGGGAUGACGUCAAGUCCUCAUGGCCCUUACAGGCUGGGCUACACACGUGCUACAAUGGCGCUGACAGAGGGAAGCGAGCCCGCGAGGGUAAGCGGAUCCUUUAAAAGGCGUCUCAGUUCGGAUUGGUCUCUGCAACUCGGGACCAUGAAGUUGGAAUCGCUAGUAAUCGCGGAUCAGCAGGUCGCGGUGAAUACGUUCCCGGGCCUUGUACACACCGCCCGU
rnacentral:rRNA from 1 species